CCUACGGGUGGCAGCAGUGGGGAAUUUUGGACAAUGGGCGAAAGCCUGAUCCAGCCAUUCCGCGUGAGUGAAGAAGGCCUUCGGGUUGUAAAGCUCUUUCGGGUAGAAAGAAAUCGCAUGGGCCAAUACCCUGUGCGGAUGACGGUACUACCAUAAGAAGCACCGGCUAACUACGUGCCAGCAGCCGCGGUAAUACGUAGGGUGCGAGCGUUAAUCGGAAUUACUGGGCGUAAAGCGUGCGCAGGCGGCUUGAUAAGACAGAUGUGAAAUCCCCGGGCUCAACCUGGGAACUGCGUUUGUGACUGUCAAGCUAGAGUACGGCAGAGGGGGGUGGAAUUCCUGGUGUAGCAGUGAAAUGCGUAGAUAUCAGGAGGAACACCGAUGGCGAAGGCAGCCCCCUGGGCCUGUACUGACGCUCAUGCACGAAAGCGUGGGGAGCAAACAGGAUUAGAUACCCCUGUAGUC
rnacentral:rRNA from 1 species